GACGAACGCUGGCGGCGUGCCUAAUACAUGCAAGUCGAGCGGAACUGGGGGAGCUUGCUCCUUCCAGUUUAGCGGCGGACGGGUGAGUAACACGUGGGCAACCUGCCCUGCAGAUCGGGAUAACUCCGGGAAACCGGUGCUAAUACCGAAUAGUUUGGCGCCUCUCCUGAGGCGCUACGGAAAGACGGUUUCGGCUGUCACUGCAGGAUGGGCCCGCGGCGCAUUAGCUAGUUGGUGGGGUAACGGCCCACCAAGGCGACGAUGCGUAGCCGACCUGAGAGGGUGACCGGCCACACUGGGACGGAGACACGGCCCAGACUCCGACGGGAGGCAGCAGUAGGGAAUCUUCCGCAAUGGACGCAAGCCUGACGGAGCAACGCCGCGUGAGUGACGAAGGUUUUCGGAUCGUAAAACUCUGUUGUGAGGGAAGAACACGUACCAACUAACUAUUGGUACCUUGACGGUACCUCACCAGAAAGCCACGGCUAACUACGUGCCAGCCGCCGCAGUAA
rnacentral:rRNA from 1 species